UCCCUGGUGGCUCAGAUGGUAAAGCGUCUGCCUGCAAUGCAGGAGACCUGGGUUCAAUCCCUGGGUAGGGAA
rnacentral:tRNA from 1 species